rnacentral:rRNA from 1 species
GACGAACGCUGGCGGCGUGCUUAACACAUGCAAGUCGAGCGGUAAGGCCCUUUCGGGGGUACACGAGCGGCGAACGGGUGAGUAACACGUGGGUGACCUGCCUUUAGCUCUGGGAUAAGCCUGGGAAACUGGGUCUAAUACCGGAUACGACUCCGCGGUGCAUGCUGUGGGGUGGAAAGCCUUGUGCGGCUGGAGAUGGGCCCGCGGCCUAUCAGCUUGUUGGUGGGGUNAUGGCCUACCAAGGCGACGACGGGUAGCCGGCCUGAGAGGGCGACCGGCCACACUGGGACUGAGACACGG